AGUGAACGCUGGCGGUAGGCCUAACACAUGCAAGUCGAACGGCAGCACAGUAAGAGCUUGCUCUUACGGGUGGCGAGUGGCGGACGGGUGAGGAAUACAUCGGAAUCUACUUUUUCGUGGGGGAUAACGUAGGGAAACUUACGCUAAUACCGCAUACGACCUACGGGUGAAAGCAGGGGAUCUUCGGACCUUGCGCGAUUGAAUGAGCCGAUGUCGGAUUAGCUAGUUGGCGGGGUAAAGGCCCACCCAGGCGACGAUCCGUAGCUGGACUGAGAGGAUGGUCGGCCACACUGGAACUGGGACACGGUCCAGACUCCUACGGGAGGCAGCAGUGGGGAAUAUUGGACAAUGGUCGCAAGCCUGAUCCAGCCAUACCGCGUGGGUGAAGAAGGCCUUCGGGUUGUAAAGCCCUUUUGUUGGGAAAGAAAAGCAGCAGGUUAAUACCCCGCUGUUCUGACGGUACCCAAAGAAUAAGCACCGGCUAACUUCGUG
rnacentral:rRNA from 1 species